UACAGAGGGUGCUAGCGUUGUUCGGAAUUACUGGGCGUAAAGGGUGCGUAGGCGGGGUUUUAAGUCAGGGGUGAAAUCCUGGAGCUCAACUCCAGAACUGCCUUUGAUACUGAAGAUCUUGAGUGCGGGAGAGGUGAGUGGAACUGCGAGUGUAGAGGUGAAAUUCGUAGAUAUUCGCAAGAACACCAGUGGCGAAGGCGGCUCACUGGCCCGGUACUGACGCUGAGGCACGAAAGCGUGGGGAGCAAACAGG
rnacentral:rRNA from 1 species